UCGGGAAUUUUGGGCAAUGGGCGAAAGCCUGACCCAGCAACGCCGCGUGAGGGAUGAAGUAUUUCGGUAUGUAAACCUCGAAAGAAUGGGAAGAAUAAAUGACGGUACCAUUUAUAAGCUCCGGCUAACUACGUGCCAGCAGCCGCGGUAAUACGUAGGGAGCAAGCGUUGUUCGGAUUUACUGGGCGUAAAGGGCGCGUAGGCGGCGCGGUAAGUCACUUGUGAAAUCUCUGAGCUUAACUCAGAACGGCCAAGUGAUACUGCUGUGCUAGAGGGCGGAAGAGGCAACCGGAAUUCUUGGUGUAGCGGUGAAAUGCGUAGAUAUCAAGAGGAACACCUGAGGCGAAGGCGGGUUGCUGGGCCGACACUGACGCUGAUGCGCGAAAGCCAGGGGAGCAAACG
rnacentral:rRNA from 1 species